rnacentral:lncRNA from 1 species
UGUAUCACCGCAACCACGGUCACAACACAAAAGAGUGUAUUCAACUUCAGAAUGAGAUCGAGGAUUUUAUCAGGCAUGGUUGUCUUGAUCGGUUUAUCCUUCGAAGGUGGAGUGAUGAGAAAGGCGGUAGUAGAGAUCCCCUUGGUCGGUAGAACAACUUCGAUAGGUAGGGCCAUAGGAAGACCAACCCCCAGUUAGCAUAAUCAAUGCCAUUACUGGGGGGCAUAACUGGAUGACUCAGUGGGGAUGAGGAGGCA